UAGAGUAACUGUUGACAUCGUGACGGUAUCCAACCAGAAAGCCACGGCUAACUACGUGCCAGCAGCCGCGGUAAUACGUAGGUGGCAAGCGUUGUCCGGAUUUAUUGGGCGUAAAGCGAGCGCAGGCGGUUUUUUAGGUCUGAUGUGAAAGCCUUCGGCUUAACCGGAGAAGUGCAUCGGAAACCGGGAGACUUGAGUGCAGAAGAGGACAGUGGAACUCCAUGUGUAGCGGUGAAAUGCGUAGAUAUAUGGAAGAACACCAGUGGCGAAGGCGGCUGUCUGGUCUGCAACUGACGCUGAGGCUCGAAAGCAUGGGUAGCGAACAGGAUUAGAUACCCUGGUAGUCCAUGCCGUAAACGAUGAGUGCUAAGUGUUGGAGGGUUUCCGCCCUUCAGUGCUGCAGCUAACGCAUUAAGCACUCCGCCUGGGGAGUACGACCGCAAGGUUGAAACUCAAAGGAAUUGACGGGGGCCCGCACAAGCGGUGGAGCAUGUGGUUUAAUUCGAUGCUACGCGAAGAACCUUACCAGGUCUUGACAUCUUCUGCUAACCUAAGAGAUUAGGCGUUCCCUUCGGGGACGGAAUGACAGGUGGUGCAUGGUUGUCGUCAGCUCGUGUCGUGAGAUGUUGGGUUAAGUCCCGCAACGAGCGCAACCCUUAUUGUCAGUUGCCAGCAUUUAGUCGGGCACUCUGGCGAGACUGCCGGUGACAAACCGGAGGAAGGUGGGGAUGACGUCAAAUCAUCAUGCCCCUUAUGACCUGGGCUACACACGUGCUACAAUGGACGGUACAACGAGUCGCGAAACCGCGAGGUCAAGCUAAUCUCUGAAAGCCGUUCUCAGUUCGGAUUGCAGGCUGCAACUCGCCUGCAUGAAGUUGGAAUCGCUAGUAAUCGUGGAUCAGCAUGCCACGGUGAAUACGUUCCCGGGCCUUGUACACACCGCCCGUCACACCAUGAGAGUUUGUAACACCCAAAGCCGGUGAGGUAACCUUCGGGGGCCAGCCGUCUAAGGUGGGACAGAUGAUUAGGGUGAAGUCGUAACAAGGUAGCCGUAGGAGAACCUGCGGCUGGAUCACCUCCUUUCUAA
rnacentral:rRNA from 1 species